rnacentral:lncRNA from 1 species
ACUAGGAGCCACAGACUUAUUAAUGGGAACUCAUCUAUGUUCCAUAAGUCAAUGAACUCAUAAGUCAUUAAAAGCAAAUGAUUUAAAGCAAAAUAGUUAGAACUGGAAUGAAAAAUCACCUAUGUUCCAGUAGCAUCUAUGUUCCAGUAGCAUGUCAAUAUGGCCUUAAAUAUAAUUUUGCUUAAAACUCACCUGCUUUCUAGAUGCAGUCUUGAAGUGCAUGUCUCAAACUAAAUAUGUGAUCUUAAACCAAUGUGAUAAAUCUCAAAGCUGGAGUUUGCAUUGUAUGAUAUACCCAUCCUCUCAUUCAGAGAAAGGAGCAAAAAUAGACAGUCGUAUUCUUGUAUAAUUUGAUCAUCACAAAAGCCAGAGGUAGCAGCAUGGUCACCGUACUUUUCUCGCCAUCGAUGAAAAGGAAAGUAACAAUUACCAGAAAAUAAAGUUAUCAGAUAUAAAAGGUCAUGCAUGGUUAAUCCAAGGCUGCAAAAUGCCCCGGUCUCUCACAUAAAAGAGUGUACUUAUUCUCUUCUAUGAAAAAGCCUGUUAAGUUUUACUUCCAUGAUCCAAGAAGUCAACUUUUAAACAAGCUGAAAGUCGAGUGACCUUAAAGAGAAUGGUCAAGAAAGGC